rnacentral:rRNA from 1 species
GAUGAACGCUGGCGGCGUGCCUAAUACAUGCAAGUCGAGCGAACAGACGAGGAGCUUGCUCCUCUGACGUUAGCGGCGGACGGGUGAGUAACACGUGGAUAACCUACCUAUAAGACUGGGAUAACUUCGGGAAACCGGAGCUAAUACCGGAUAAUAUAUUGAACCGCAUGGUUCAAUAGUGAAAGACGGUUUUGCUGUCACUUAUAGAUGGAUCCGCGCCGCAUUAGCUAGUUGGUAAGGUAACGGCUUACCAAGGCAACGAUGCGUAGCCGACCUGAGAGGGGGACCGCCCCAGCGGGAACUGAAACACGGUCCGAACCCUUACGGAGGGCAGCAUAGGGGAAUCUUCCGCAAUGGCGAAAGCCUGACGGAGCAACGCCGCGUGAGUGAUGAAGGUCUUCGGAUCGUAAAACUCUGUUAUUAGGGAAGAACAAAUGUGUAAGUAACUAUGCACGUCUUGACGGUACCUAAUCAGAAAGCCACGGCUAACUACGUG